UCAGACAGCAUUUAUUGUAAUGUAAUUUGGUCUAAGACAAUAGGGGAGAUGCAAAUUCUAGAGAGGCAUAUUAAUCUGUAGGUCAAACAAUAACAAAAUAUUGAAAAACUGUCUUAAUGAUUUUUUACAUUGUGGUAGAAAAGCAUAUAAUUCCAUAGAGGGGUGCUGGUGAUCUCAUAAACCAGGAGAAUAAAGCUGAGUGGUUUAUUAAUGCCACCGAGGCACUGAAAUAGAAUUUGUUUUAUAUCGUGUACGACUGUAGAGGUGUUUAUUAUUUAUAACACAUUCUUCUUUUUUAAAGGUCUCCAUUCUAAGCCCUCUUCUGAUGCUCCAUAUCUUGCUUUUCCCCACUGGUUUUAAACAGCAAUUGUAUUCCAGAUGCAGCUUUAAAUGGUGCUGUGUUAGCUGCUACCUUUCACUUUUUAUGACAAAAUUUAGUCUAUUAUACCAGCUGUAUUUUUCAUUGAAAAGUUAAAGUUAAAAACUGCUGACUUCUUUGGGGGUGUGCGGAAAGAGGUUGCUCUGUGCUUGCCAUAUGGUGCUCAGCACCUUGUAGGAUCUGGCCCUAAAGGCCAGUAAAUCGCCAUUUCCUGACUGUGUGGAUGAUGCAGGUGGAGGCUGUAGAUCGUUCCUGCCCAGCUCUCACGGUAAGGCUCCUUCCUCUCUGGUUUGAAGUGAUCAGCACUGACACUGUGAGCACCAAGCCGGCUGUCACUGCUGUUCAUGGCAGACAGAACUGCGUGGGGCCAUGGUAAAGCACUCUGUGGAGUGUGGGGGGGUGUUCCCAGGCCUGUGUGGAGAAAGCCCGGUACUCUUUCGAGCAUGGAGUUUGCUUGCCUCUUUGUGCUGAAAAUCUAGUAUUGACAAAGAAAGUAGUACCACAGGAGGGCCAUGAACGCCGUGGUAGUGUAGUUGUCAUUCACAGAAAAGCGGUAGCACGCCCAUGAGGAACAAUCCACUCCAGCUGGAUGGCAACUUACUGCAGCCUGUAGCCCCUCGUGUGCCGCUGCCCCGCGGCUGGGUCAUGCAGGAGCCUCUCUGUCAGGCCCUGUGACACACCCAUCUCACCCUGUCCAUGGCAGAACUGCUGAUGACAAAACAAUGGCCAACAAAUGCCAGGGACACAGGGCAGUCCCUGUCUGCAUAGGGCACCACUCAGCCUGACCCCAAGCACCCCACACUCUUGCAGCAUGCCAUCCAGCAGUUUUGUUGAACUGUGCUCAACCCACUCUUGCCAAAGGCUCAACAAGCCAAUAGGGAAGGCUGCCAGACCCAUCAGAUGACUGUCCAGUUCUGGCCAUACUAGGUGUCUCUGUGUUGCGGUGUGGUAGUGCCCAGGAACUUGAAACUGGAACUCUGCUAUAGCUGAGUCCACAGCCUGAAUGGCUGUAAGAAGCACGGUACAAAAUGGUCCACCACUAUUGCAGGAACAUUCAUAUCAGCAUGAAGCUUCAGAAACUUUUUUUUUUUUUUUUCCCCAUGGGCUGAAUGGAGUUGUAACCCUGAAAAGGAAAAUCAGAAUACUUAUAUGGCAAUUGUUUGACUUGUCAUUAACAGGAGGAGUUAAAGAGGUACUGCACACAGUAUGUUCUUCAAAGACUACUUCCACCUUUUUGAAGAGGAUCUUGGCAGCGGAAUACAUUCAUAUGAUUAAAUGGUACCGACAGAGAUGGUUAGGAACUCUUUACGUAUCUGGAGUACUUUUAAAGAUGCUGGUCUGGAGAGGAAUGAUGACAUGUAUGUUUCUGGGAAAACACAUCUGGGCAUUUACCUUGCUGCAUCUGGGGUUAAUCAUCAGGGAUGAAACAGAUUACCAGCUUUUGAACCAAUUUAAGUAGAACCUCCAGAAACAAAGCCAGGACAAAUAAUUAUUGGCAGUUCACAGAAGGCAUUCUGUGCCCACAGCUCUGCAGGAUACCGUUAAAGUCAGUUCACUUGUCUUAAUGGGAAACACCUGUGGUCUGGAACACAAGACAAAAAAUCAAACUAACCAUGCCUGAGACAUUCAAAAUAAAUUCUGAAAAUAAAACUUCUCCUUCUGUCCCUCCCCUUUUCCUUCUUUCAUCUGCACCCUCCAGAAAACCUCACCAGACUAUCACUGGUGUCCUUUCUUUUAAAACAGAUGUGAAAGCCUGUCUUCAAAACUACAUUCAAUCGCAGACACUGAAAGUUUUCAAGCAAUUUCAGUUGCAAUAUUAAUCAGAAGACAUCUUACUACAAACAAAAACAUGCUUAAUAAAGGCUCAGUUGGAGCCCUUCUAACUAGCUAUUAAAAGUGAAUGCAAACCAACUGAAAAUGAUUACCAUAAGUAAUGCUUUAAAACAUUAAAACAAAAUCAUCUCUAAAAUUCAAAGAA